rnacentral:misc_RNA from 1 species
UUUUGUUGUUGUGUGUCUAUUUGAUUGUCGUUGAAGGGUGUGUUUGUUUCGGUGUUUAAUGCACAAUGGACGAUUGUCUGAAUCUGGAAUUUUUUUAUCAGUUGGAGCGAAAAGGUAAAAAAAGCGUGAUUGAGUGGUGUAUGGAGAAACGUUUGAUUACAAGAUCGUAUAAAUGUCCAAUUUGUAAAACUGAUAUGAAAUUAGUAGAGCGAAAGAAUUGUCUAGAUGGUUUUGAGUGGAUGUGUAGAGUAACGCGAGGUGAAUGUAAGCAUCGAAUUUCAAGGUCUGUUCGAAAGGAUUCGUGGUUUACGAAGAGUAAAUUGAGCAUGUGUGAUAUUUUGAGAGUUACAUAUAUGUGGCUUGGCAAAUGCCGAAAUGAUUUUAUCCGUUCUGAGUUAGGAGUGGCUAAAAACACUGUGACUUGCUGGAAGAGUUUUUGUAGGGAAGUAUGCAUAGAGUUAUGUUUGAAAGAAAAUAUAAUGCGGGAUGAGGAGGAUGCUCCGCAGGCAACAGAACAAUUAGACUCGUAUCUGGCCGAGCAUAUGUGGAGAAGACAGAAGAAGGAAUCAAACACUUGCAAGUUAAUGCAAAUAUUUCUAAAUAAUAUCUCGACAGUGUAUUCUGUAAAAGGUGAGGACUAAAGUAAAAGCAGAUCAUUGUGUAUAUGAAGAAAAUAACAGCACAGAAAAAAUUGCAGAAAGUUAUCUGGAAAAAGAAUAUGCCUAUUCAGCUGAACUGCAUUAUGUGAGCAAGCUGAAAAGAAAUAAGAAAUGCAUCAUGUGAGCAAGCUGAAAAGAAAUUUCUAAAUUUUCUGAUAAACAGAUAUCUCAAGAAUUUCGUCAAUUAUACUUUUGUUCCUCAAUGCUGGUUAUAGACAGUGCUAUUCAGUUUCCUAAGGUAUGAUAUAUAUAUAUAUACAGUAUAUAUAUAUAUUGUGAUACUGUAAUUUUAUGGGCAGUGUAGUCUUAUCUGGCACUGACUUUGGGUCUGCAGGUAUGGUAUAUGAAAUCUGUAACUGUAUUAUUAGUUUGUAUUCAAGAGCAGACAGAUAGGUAUUUAUUCAGUUCUACUUUUCUUUUUAACAUCAUUCCUUAUAUAACUGUGUAAAGUUCAUGAUAUAUAUAAUUAGUUAACUUCAACUCAUUGGUGUAACAUUGGGCCAAAUCUGCAGUAAACUCAAAAUCCUGGUUAAUCCGAGAUUUUUUUAAAAAAAGAGUAACCAGUGUUCAGCUUAAUUGACCAAACAAAUUAUGAAGCAAUACUAGUUGUUGCCCAGUAGUUUUUACUGGCUGUCUUUGUAGGAUUCUCAAGAAAAUUAUAAAUGUUUACCUUGUCUAUUAUCUCAAGCAAAAUGGCUUAUUUUCUCUUGAUCAAAGUAUUUUAGGAAAAGCAGAUUUGGUAUUGGUAACAUCAUUUUACUAGAAAGUGCAAUAUGAAAUUCUUUGUAGAAGGAAAGUAUUUUGAUUUCUUUCUUUUUCAGUAUAGAAAAGGCAAAUGAUAAAAAUAGAGAUGAAAAAAGCUUCAAGACCUCUGCCAUUGUAAUCUGUGCAGGAACCUCCCUACUUUCAUUCAGACUUUUUAUAAAUUUUAUACUUUCAAAUUUAAGCUUGACAUUCUGCUACUCAGUGUUUUCUUACAAGAAGGUGUCUCUCAAGGACGUGUGCUGAAUAUGACUCUUUUUUAAUUUGAAAAUCAACUUGAUCGUGAAGGAACUAUCUUUGGAUCCAUGUAUGUUGAUGAUUUACAACUAAGUUGCCAAGAAGCAAAUGUGCAAUAAAUAGAAAGACAACUGCAAAAAGCACACAACAGGAUUUUGAAAUAAUCCAAGAAUAUUUUCAAAAUCAAGACAAAAAAUUGUUUGUGUGCAUUUCUGUACCAAGAAGAGUCUGUAUCCUGAACUUGAAGUUUUUCUGGAUGGUUCAUUGAUCCCACUGAAUUCUGAAGCAAAAUUUUUAGAUAUUAUUUUUGAAAAGAAACUUGCAUUUCUUUUUUUUUUUUUUUUUUUCCCCUCAUAUUUUAAAAGCUUGAACAAAUGUAUUUUAAAAUGUCUUAUCAAAUAUGGCCUGUGAAGCUGACGAAUGCUUGAAGUUUUGCAUAUAUAGAAAGAGCCAUUGUACCAUUGAUUAUGAAUCAUUUAAUUUAUGGCUCUGUGAAACCUUUCUUAUUAUUGAAACUUGAUCCUGUUCAUAAUCAGCUUCUAAGGAUUUGUUUUGGAACCUUCAGAACAUCCUCUGCACUACUAUGUUGAAUGCUUUGAAUCUUCAUUAAAGCUGAGAUGAGAACGCUUAGUGUAGCCUUUGUGUUAUUAUUUUUUUUAAUAUUAUGCCACAGCCUCGAUGACUUUCAGUGCUUGAGGAUCUAUAAAGUCCAAAACUAUCUAAAAUCUGGACCUCUGGAUCACCAGCAAUUUUUGUUUUAUGCUUCACAUAUGUGCAUUUGUAUUUUUUCAUAAUAAAAUAUGAGGAAAGUCCCAAUUCUUAAUUUUAGUUGUCUCUAAAUGAAAUACCUCCAUAUUUACGAAACCCAUCAGUUUUCCAUAAACCUGUAUGAUCAAUAAUUUGGCUCCAUAGAUGCCCUUUUCCUUUGCAUAUAUCUCAAACCAAAAAAUUCUAAAUUCAAUCGAAACAUCUUGGAUUUUACACCUAUUGAAUGGUUAAAAUCCAUGAUGCUAACAUGGUGAAUCUCUAUUUAUUAUUUUUGUUUUUAUCACUGCCUGACUAUCAACACAUGGCAGCUCAAGGAAUGACUCGUCUAACAAGGACUCAACAAUUUGUUUGUAGUAAUUGAAUAUCAAUGAGCAUGGUAACCUUUUAUGUUGACAUUAUGCUUAGGAUGAUUACAGACUUUAGCUAACUGUACUGCAAAGUGUGAAGUGCAUUGUGACAAAGAGGAAAUUUAACAGCAAUUUAUUUCCUUACGCAAAAAAAUAGAUUUUAUAAAUGAUACUCAUAGUCCAAAAGAAAACAUUUAUUGCUCUUUGAAUUGAGAAUAAUUUAUUAUUAAGUCCAGGACUGUCAUCAGAGCUGCUGCAUCCAACUUUAGGUAAGGCAAAAUUUUUAGAAUUUAGAAAAACACCAAGCAACAAAACUGAGGGAUAGCAAAAUCUUUAAUCUUUAUGAAAAGCACUGGGAUGCAAAAUUUUUAGAACUUAAAAUGUGGAGAGACUGCACCGGGCCACAAAAUUUCUAGCAUUGGUUCUUGAUAUGCCUUAAGUAUAUAUGGGAAUUUAUUCAAGCUUUAAGCAUAUACAAGGAAUAGACGUAAGUAUAAUAAAUAACUAAUAUAAUCCAAGCUUAACUUUGUCAGUGCAUAAUAGAGCAAAACAGAAUUUAUCGGGAUGAGAUGUUCUUAGUCGCCAGUCUUGAGAUACAUCUCCAGUAGUGUAUAGUGAAUGUUAACUAAGCUUUAUGAUGAUAGCCAUAAAUUUGAAGAAUUUCAGAUAUUGCAAACAAAAAGUUAAUUUUUCUAAUUAUUGGAAUUUGUGAAAUGUGGAGAAGUAAUAAAUGAAGAUGCUGUAACAGCUUUUCAUUGCGAUGGCAGUACCCUAAUCAUCAGUCAACUAACACGCAGUGAAAUGUGUAGUAUGAUUCUAAAUCCAGAAAAUAUUGUUAUCAAUAGAGAAGAGAGUGACAGAGGAGAGAACAAAUACAGGAUUUGAAGUUUGGAACUUUGCAGCUGAACAAGAAAUCAUGUCUCUCUAUAGAAUUAAAGAGGAAGUAUUAGCACAAAAAAGGAGCAACUUACAUUAAAAGAAAUGUGUAAUAAAGAAAAAAAAAAAAAAAAUGCUGAGCUCUUUUUUAAUGAAUUUUAUUCCUUGAAAGUGAUAAAUUCUACAUGUCAGCUUAUCGAGAUUUAGUAUCUGGAAGAAUCUAAAAUCCAGAAUCAUGUAAGUCCCAACGAGUCUGUAUCUCGGACUUUGUACUGUAUUAUUCUCUGUACCAAGUGCAACAAUUUUGUAUCCCUGCUUCUAGUUGAUAUGUUCGAAUACUUGAGCAAGAUUAUUGCUUGAAAAAAUUUGAAAGAAUAAAUAGCCCUUCGAAUUUCCCCA